GAUAGCUCAGAUGCUAGAGCAUGAGACUCUUAAUCUCAGGGUCAUGGGUUCAAGUCCCAGGUAGCA